CCAAACGUUAUGAUGGGAAUAGUAGGAGAGCCCCUUCACGCUCAGAGAGUAAAUUCCACUGGCUGCGAGAAUUUACCGUGAACCUUUGCCGAACCCGCCCCUGAACGGCCGGUGAUGAACCGGACGGUACCCUGCCGUUAUGAGGAUCGAAAGACGGAUGAAUUAUUCAUCAACUAAGGUGGUACCGCGGAAGUCAAGGCUUUCGUCCUUACA
rnacentral:ncRNA from 1 species